rnacentral:lncRNA from 7 species
AGGCCGCACGGAACAGGAUUUAGCAAGAUUAAUGAAAGUGAACAGUGGAUUACCAGGAGGAGCGGCAGAGAGGUGCUGUCUAGCAAGAGCAAGGGAAUAACCACUAAUGUCUCAGCUCUGCUGCUAUAAGAUCUUCAUAUAUGGCCCUGGUAAUGUCAGACAUGGAAAGAGGAGGACUGAACUUCAUAUGGUACAUUUCUGACCUGUCUUCACUGAGAAGCAAGAAGUAAUUUCCACUGUGACGCAGCAGUUUUCAAAAAGAACUUUGAAAUUUUUGAAGUCAAGCUGGUAAGACAGAUAAAGCACACUCAUGAUAUAUUAUUUCAUUUGUCCAUUGCGUAUUCAGUAAAUUUGAAGAAGACAGUCACUCUCCAGUUCCUAAAAAUAAUAUUCCUUGGGAUUUCAUUUAAUACCAAUAAUAUACAUUACCAGUGCAUACUUUAUUUAUUUAUUUUGUGGGGUGAUGCUCCAUAACUUGUUCAUUCUUUAUGUUCUUUUAAUAUGUUGUAGACAGUUGCUAUGCAUGCACUAGUUCCACUGCCUUAAAAUUACUUCAAAGGAAAUGCUGAAACCUUUCAUUUCCCUUUAAGGGUAAUAUUAACAACACAAACUUAUUUUUUUUUUUCUUUAAUCUGUUGGUGGAUGAGCAGUUUUCACAGUGGCUGAACAGUUUUCACAGAGUAUUACCAACCUGCAUUAAUGAUGUUUGCUUUCUCUUUCUAGUUUUUGAUGAGCAGGUUUCUUAUGAAAUAUUGUGCUUUGAUAAUAGCUAGUUUUUGCUUUGUGGUGACUCAAAACCAAGAGGCACUCACAGUGAAUUGCAAAUAUUCACUAAAGAUACUAUCUAUCAAUCCAGAAAAUAGUUGUUAAAGGAGCACUGGAAAUGUAUACCUACUGAGCACUUCUUUCAAGGCUUCUCAGUACUGUCUGAAUAUACAUUGGAAAUGCUUGCUUCCCACGAGCCGUUGGUGGGAAUCGCUACCUUCUCCUAUUGGUAAGAAUUCAAUUUAAAAUCCUUUUACAUCGAUGAGAGAGAAAAAGGAUAAUCAGCAAUAAUCACUACAUCACUCUUAUUUGUUACCAUCUUAAGAGGGUUGAAGGAUAUAAAUAGAGUCCAACAGGUCCUGGAGAACUGGAGAGGGAAUUCCCAAGGGGGGAGUUCACAUUCAACCCAAGGGCACUCUCAGCAUUAAAAUCCCUUCUUUGCAGUUCCAUGAUAACCCAUUUCCAUCCUUCCUCUCUGCAGUCUCCUUUCUAGUUCACGAGAAACCUCGUUAGAAGCAUUUCCUCUACUUAAUGGCUUCCUGGCUACUUUUUUCUAGCAAUAUAAGGCAGCAUAUUAUUACAAAAGCACAUGCUAGAUUUAGGUAUUGAUUCUCUUUAAAGUAGGUUUAUCUGAUGGAAGACAGAUUUCCAUUGCCCAGUCACCUCAGGGCCAGGAGCUCUUUUUAGUGCAUUAACAAUUAUAACUUUGAAAGUGUCCACCUAAAGAAGAUAUCAAUAUAUCAUCUCAUAUGGAUAAAGUACAGUAAGCUUAAUUGCUGCUUAAUUGCUUAAGUUUUACAGUUUCUGGAAAUGUUCAAAAUACUUGAAUGCAUAAAUGUAGUCAUUCCAGAGGGAAAAAGCAAGAAUAAAAAAGAAACAGAAGGAAAUAGUUUUAUCUGCCUCUGUGUUUUAAUUGGAAUUUAUUUUUAGUUAAUGAUAGCAGACUC